UCGCCUGGCUGCCUCCCAGCCCAGGCCGGAUUAAACAGCGGUAACCAGAUCCUGCUGGGGACGAGGGGAAACCGAGGCGGACGGCGUGAGUGAUGAGAGACGAGCUCGCACAUGGCGAGGAACGGUUCCCCUGUCUCCCCACAUCUGGAGGGAACCCUGCCACCCGUGCAAACGAUUCCAACCAGCCGCUGGAGGAUGAGGGACCACGUGGACCAGAGCUGAGCAGUCCCAGACAAGGCUCCAGAGAAGUGAGCCAGCCCAGCCAAGAUCCGCAGAGCCUCCUGUGUCACCCACUGCUGACCACAGAUGCACGAGCGAGUCCAGCCGAGUCCAGAGAACUGACCUAUCAGCUUGUGAGCAGUAAUAAAGGCUGAU
rnacentral:lncRNA from 1 species